rnacentral:miRNA from 1 species
UAAAAUCUGAUUGGCUGACGGUGU